CCUACGGGAGGCAGCAGUGAGGAAUAUUGGUCAAUGGACGAAAGUCUGAACCAGCCAAGUAGCGUGAAGGAUGACUGCCCUAUGGGUUGUAAACUUCUUUUAUAUGGGAAUAAAAUGUUCCACGUGUGGGAUUUUGUAUGUACCAUAUGAAUAAGGAUCGGCUAACUCCGUGCCAGCAGCCGCGGUAAUACGGAGGAUCCGAGCGUUAUCCGGAUUUAUUGGGUUUAAAGGGAGCGUAGGUGGAUUGUUAAGUCAGUUGUGAAAGUUUGCGGCUCAACCGUAAAAUUGCAGUUGAAACUGACAGUCUUGAGUAUAGUAGAGGUGGGCGGAAUUCGUGGUGUAGCGGUGAAAUGCUUAGAUAUCACGAAGAACUCCGAUUGCGAAGGCAGCUUACUGGACUGCAACUGACACUGAGGCUCGAAAGUGUGGGUAUCAAACAGGAUUAGAUACCCUUGUAGUC
rnacentral:rRNA from 1 species